rnacentral:rRNA from 1 species
AUUGAACGCUGGCGGCAUGCCUUACACAUGCAAGUCGAACGGCAGCACGGGUGCUUGCACCUGGUGGCGAGUGGCGAACGGGUGAGUAAUACAUCGGAACAUGUCCUGUAGUGGGGGAUAGCCCGGCGAAAGCCGGAUUAAUACCGCAUACGAUCUACGGAUGAAAGCGGGGGACCUUCGGGCCUCGCGCUAUAGGGUUGGCCGAUGGCUGAUUAGCUAGUUGGUGGGGUAAAGGCCUACCAAGGCGACGAUCAGUAGCUGGUCUGAGAGGACGACCAGCCACACUGGGACUGAGAAACGGCCCAGACUCCUACGGGAGGCAGCAGUGGGGAAUUUUGGACAAAGGGCGAAAGCCUGAUCCAGCAAUGCCGCGUGUGUGAAGAAGGCCUUCGGGUUGUAAAGCACUUUUGUCCGGAAAGAAAUCCUUGGCCCUAAUACGGUCGGGGGAUGACGGUACCGGAAGAAUAAGCACCGGCUAACUACGUG